rnacentral:rRNA from 1 species
UGAAGAGGGCCUUCGGGUUGUAAAGCUCUUUCGAUGGGGACGAUGAUGACGGUACCCAUAUAAGAAGCCCCGGCAAACUUCGUGC